AACGAACGCUGGCGGCAUGCCUAACACAUGCAAGUCGAACGAGACCUUCGGGUUUAGUGGCGCACGUGUGCGUAACGCGGGGGAACCUGCCCUUAGGUUCGGAAUAACUCCCCGAGAGGGGUGCUAAUACCGGAUAAUGUCUUCGGACCAAAGAUUUAUCGCCUUUGGAUGGGCCCGCGUUGGUUUAGCCAGUUGGUAGGGUAAAAGCCUACCAAGGCGACGAUCCAUAGCUAGUCUGAGAGCAUGAUCAGCCACAAUGGGACUGCGACACGGCCCCGUCCCCUACGGGAGGCAGCAGUAGGGUAUAUUGGGCGCUGGGCGAAAGCCCAGUCAAGCAACGCCGGGUAAGUGGUGAAGGCCUUAGGGUUGUAAAGCCCUUUUACACGGGAUGAUAAUGACGGUACCGGGAGAAUAAGCUCCGGCUAACUCCGUG
rnacentral:rRNA from 1 species